AACGAACGCUGGCGGCGUGCCUAACACAUGCAAGUCGUGCGAGAAAGUUCCUUCGGGAGCGAGUAAAGCGGCGCACGGGUGAGUAACACGUAGGUAACCUGCCCCCAGUCUGGAACAACUAGAGGAAACUCUAGCUAAUGCCGGAUGAGACCACGAUCCCUUCGGGGGGUUGCGGCCAAAGAUGGCCUCUACUUGUAAGCUAUCGCUGAGGGAUGGGCCUGCGGGCCAUUAGCUUGUUGGUGAGGUAACGGCUCACCAAGGCUGUGAUGGCUAGCUGGUCUGAGAGGAUGACCAGCCACACUGGGACCGAGACACGGCCCAGACUCCUACGGGAGCAGCAGUGGGGAAUAUUGCGCAAUGGGCGAAAGCCUGACGCAGCGACGCCGCGUGGGUGAUGAAGGCC
rnacentral:rRNA from 1 species